rnacentral:tRNA from 1 species
GGUGCCGAAGUGGCGAAAUCGGUAGACGCAGUUGAUUCAAAAUCUAACCGUAGAAAUACGUGCCGGUUCGAGUCCGAAGCGCUGGGCACCG